AGAUUGUAGGUUCUCUUCAGGGUCCUGCCGCAGGCCCUAACUACAAAGCCACAGCAUGCAGUGCUUCAGAUGGACUCUAGGCUACCUGACAAGCCUGGAAAAGAGACCAUGCUGGCAGGAGCUACACCACUUGAGGAUCCCAGGGGAAUCAUUGCUGAGGGAGAAAGGGUAGGAAAUAGCCCAGGGGAUUUGGACUUUUCUCUGGAUAUUCUCUGUAUCAAGCUGCUCCUGCUGCCAUUGAAGUUAAUGGACAUAUUGAGUCCAUGGAGGGGAAUUUGGGAAAGCCGACAGAGUACUGUAGAUGUCACAAAAGAACAAUCACAAUGAGUAUGAUGAAGAAUUGUUCCAUUAUCCCUUCCUAUCCACAUAAACCAACUGCGCAUGAGUUCAUUUCAGAACUGGACACCAAGCUGAACCAAGGUACAUUUCCUAAUUUUAGGAAAAUGUGUGCUAUAACAUACUAGGCAAUGGAAGGACAGUGAAAAAGGGGGUUAGAACUGUCUGCAGCGCUGGCAUUCUAUGCUAAUACAUAUCCUUACUGCACACUGCAUGGGAGAGAAGGCUGAAUAAUAGUGAAGCAUUUACAAUUCAAUUGCAAAGCUGUCCAAAGAAAAAUGUCUGGGUAGUCAACCAUGAGACUUAAACCUUGUCUACAGGGGAAGGAUUUUGAAGAUGCCAU